rnacentral:miRNA from 14 species
UUGUGGGAAUCCUAACAGUGGGAGCAGGAGCUGCCUCUGCUUCUGCUGCCUGCCUUUAGGACCCUGUACCCCA